GGUGUUACUGCGAAGGGGGGACGGAGAAGGCUAUGUUGGCCGGGCGACGGUUGUCCCGGUUUAAGCGUGUAGGUGUGUGUUCCAGGUAAAUCCGGUUCACUUUAACACUGAGGCGUGACGACGAGGCACUACGGUGCUGAAGCAACAAAUGCCCUGCUUCCAGGAAAAGCCUCUAAGCAUCAGGUAACAUCAAAUCGUACCCCAAACCGACACAGGUGGUCAGGUAGAGAAUACCAAGGCGCUUGAGAGAACUCGGGUGAAGGAACUAGGCAAAAUGGUGCCGUAACUUCGGGAGAAGGCACGCUGACACGUAGGUGAAGUGAUUUACUCAUGGAGCUGAAGUCAGUCGAAGAUACCAGCUGGCUGCAACUGUUUAUUAAAAACACAGCACUGUGCAAACACGAAAGUGGACGUAUACGGUGUGACGCCUGCCCGGUGCCGGAAGGUUAAUUGAUGGGGUCAGCGCAAGCGAAGCUCCUGAUCGAAGCCCCGGUAAACGGCGGCCGUAACUAUAACGGUCCUAAGGUAGCGAAAUUCCUUGUCGGGUAAGUUCCGACCUGCACGAAUGGCGUAAUGAUGGCCAGGCUGUCUCCACCCGAGACUCAGUGAAAUUGAACUCGCUGUGAAGAUGCAGUGUACCCGCGGCAAGACGGAAAGACCCCGUGAACCUUUACUAUAGCUUGACACUGAACAUUGAGCCUUGAUGUGUAGGAUAGGUGGGAGGCUUUGAAGUGUGGACGCCAGUCUGCAUGGAGCCGACCUUGAAAUACCACCCUUUAAUGUUUGAUGUUCUAACGUGGACCCGUUACCCGGGUUGCGGACAGUGUCUGGUGGGUAGUUUGACUGGGGCGGUCUCCUCCUAAAGAGUAACGGAGGAGCACGAAGGUUGGCUAAUCCUGGUCGGACAUCAGGAGGUUAGUGCAAUGGCAUAAGCCAGCUUGACUGCGAGCGUGACGGCGCGAGCAGGUGCGAAAGCAGGUCAUAGUGAUCCGGUGGUUCUGAAUGGAAGGGCCAUCGCUCAACGGAUAAAAGGUACUCCGGGGAUAACAGGCUGAUACCGCCCAAGAGUUCAUAUCGACGGCGGUGUUUGGCACCUCGAUGUCGGCUCAUCACAUCCUGGGGCUGAAGUAGGUCCCAAGGGUAUGGCUGUUCGCCAUUUAAAGUGGUACGCGAGCUGGGUUUAGAACGUCGUGAGACAGUUCGGUCCCUAUCUGCCGUGGGCGCUGGAGAACUGAGGGGGGCUGCUCCUAGUACGAGAGGACCGGAGUGGACGCAUCACUGGUGUUCGGGUUGUCAUGCCAAUGGCACUGCCCGGUAGCUAAAUGCGGAAGAGAUAAGUGCUGAAAGCAUCUAAGCACGAAACUUGCCCCGAGAUGAGUUCUCCCUGAGACUUAGAGUCUCCUGAAGGAACGUUGAAGACGACGACGUUGAUAGGCCGGGUGUGUAAGCGCAGCGAUGCGUUGAGCUAACCGGUACUAAUGAACCGUGAGGCUUAACCUU
rnacentral:rRNA from 1 species